UCCUCUCCUCCUCUAGGCCGCCUACAAUCAGAAUCGACGGAAAAUCGAUAAGAUUCAAAAAGUCAGUGACUUACCUGGGUCUGAGGCUUGGUGAAAGGCUCAACAUUUAGGAACAUGUGCACCACCUGCUUGACAAAACAGUUAAAAUAUUCAGCCAGCUUGCCAGAGUUGUAAAUGCCAAAUGGGGUCUGAAAACAAAGAUAUUGAGCAUUCUUUACAAGGGUCUCUUCUUGCCCAUCAUUACGUAUGGGGCGAUCGGCUGGUCGAGUUACCUGAAGAAGACAAAUGUGAUUGCACUAACCCGAGCACAGCGACAGGUGUUGCUUCGCACUACUAAGACCUACGCUACGACGUCGACGGAUGCUGUUCAGGUGGCUGCAGCGGUACUCCCGAUUGACCUAGAAAUAAUAUUAGCGGAACUAAGGUACAAAAUCCGGAACUGCAUGGAAUUCAGUAUACUAAGUACUGAAUUUUCUGCCGAGACGAUAGCUGCGUCACCCAGGAGGAUGCUAUCUCAAGUUAAGGAAAUCUUGACACAGCUAUGGCAAACUAGAUGGAGUAAUUCCUCUAAGGGCAGACUCACCUUUGAGUUUUUCCCUGAUAUUGUGGAGAGGUUUAGGAUGAACUGGGUCCGCCCCAAUCAUUAUUCGAUGCAAUUCCUCACAGGCCAUGGCGACUUUGCGGCCAGGCUGCAUUACCAUCGCUUGGCUGCGUCGCCGAAUUGUUGAUGUGGAGCUCUGGAUGACCCUAGGCAUAUGCUGUAUGACUGUCCAAACAAUGAAGAGGUGCGAACAGUGCUUAGGCAAGAACUCACUGCGUCUGGGAUCCAAUGGCCUCCUACUCUGAGGGACCUGAUAACUGAGAGCGGCUACACCAACUUUCAGGACUUUGUCCACGUCUCCCUAGAAAAACGGGAACAAGAACGAGAUUAAGAAGACACAUGCAAUCAACAACAUACGCGGUACUUACCUUGUCGGACAUAUUUGCUGAAAUACCCCGGAGGACCAGGACCUGGACUAAGAAGAUAAAAAUGAACAAGCUAGUUUACUAGCCUAUUAUGCAUGGAAAUAUAUGUAUUAUGGGGCUUACCUUAAUUCGGGUGAGAAGACUAACGCUCCUGGGUUGGCUGUGUGAUUUCCGGUGAGUCCACCUGGGCUCACGGUACUAUGAGGCUGCUAUGGCUGCGACCUGCAACACAGGGACCGUGAUUUAAUAUUGUGGUUUGCAGGUGCAACCUCGCCUAGGCGAAAACAGGCUCUGCCCAACCCUGAAAAGGACUGGGCUUAGGCCGGCGGCUCCGCCUCCUCGUGGCCACCGCUGGUAACGGGGGCCACGAGGAGGCGGCCCGAGGGUCGGACCCCGGGCGGGGCGCUCCGGCUGAGCGAGCCGCUUCCCCGAGAGGGGUAAGUCCCACUCUCCGCGGAUGAUCGUCCGCGUGCGCGCUCCCCCCUUGCGGUUCCUUGGGCUGUGUGAGAGGCGGGGGGGAUUUUUCCAGCCCAUCGCACCUUUUGCCUAUCGGCCUAUCGAACCUUUUGACUUGAAGAGUUUUCAGCAAGAGGUGUCAGAAAAGUUACCACAGGAAUAACUGGCUUGUGGCGGCCAAGCGUUCAUAGCGAUGUCGCUUUUCGAUCCUUCGAUGUCGGCUCUUCCUAUCAUUGCGAAGCAGAAUUCGCCAAGCGUCGGAUUGUUCACCCGCCAACAGGGAACGUGAGCUGGGUUUAGACCGUCGUGAAACAGGUUAGUUUUACCCUACUGAUCGUUGCCUGCGGUGACUGGUCGUUGCGAUACUAAUCCUCCUCAGUACGAGAGGAACCGAAGGUUAGGACAUUUGGUUCACGCACUCGGUCGAGCGGCCGGUGGUGCGAAGCUACCAUCCGUGGGAUUAUGCCUGAACGCCUCUAAGGCCGUAUCCUUUCUAGUCAAAAGAGGCAACGAUAUUUCUAGGAGUCUCGUGAGUCGAAAGGCUCAAAACAAUGUGAUACUACUAGGUGGCCGGUACACGGGCCGGUCAUCGCACGAGCCCCGUUUGUCGUACGGAGCCGC
rnacentral:rRNA from 1 species